rnacentral:rRNA from 1 species
GACGAACGCUGGCGGCGUGCCUAGUACAUGCAAGUAGAACGCCGAAGAGAGGAGCUUGCUCUUCUUGGAUGAGUUGCGAACGGGUGAGUAACGCGUAGGUAACCUGCCUUGUAGCGGGGGAUAACUAUUGGAAACGAUAGCUAAUACCGCAUAACAAUGGAUGACACAUGUCAUUUAUUUGAAAGGGGCAAUUGCUCCACUACAAGAUGGACCUGCGUUGUAUUAGCUAGUAGGUGAGGUAAUGGCUCACCUAGGCGACGAUACAUAGCCGACCUGAGAGGGUGAUCGGCCACACUGGGACUGAGACACGGCCCAGACUCCUACGGGAGGCAGCAGUAGGGAAUCUUCGGCAAUGGGGGCAACCCUGACCGAGCAACGCCGCGUGAGUGAAGAAGGUUUUCGGAUCGUAAAGCUCUGUUGUAAGUCAAGAACGGGUGUGAGAGUGGAAAGUUCACACUGUGACGGUAGCUGACCAGAAAGGGACGGCUAACUACGUG